rnacentral:rRNA from 1 species
UACGGAGGGUGCGAGCGUUAUCCGGAUUCACUGGGUUUAAAGGGUGCGUAGGAGGGCAGGUAAGUCAGUGGUGAAAUCUUCGAGCUUAACUCGGAAACUGCCGUUGAUACUAUCUGUCUUGAAUACCGUGGAGGUGAGCGGAAUAUGUCAUGUAGCGGUGAAAUGCUUAGAUAUGACAUAGAACACCGAUUGCGAAGGCAGCUCACUACACGAAUAUUGACUCUGAGGCACGAAAGCGUGGGGAGCAAACAGG